AUGGUUCUGAAGCCAGUCCUCCUGAGAGAGGUAAUGGCUGCUGCAUGGCAUCGAGAGGUUGGACCUGUAGGGAGUUCUUCAGCCCAGUUUGUCCUUUGUCACGGUCCGUUCUUCACAGGAUAAUAAUAAUGGCAGCUACCAUCUUUUGAACUGUUGCUGUGUCCCUAUGAUUUCUUUAUGAGUUUUAGACACAUUAGCUCAUUAAACACCCUCGUCAGUCCUGGGAGAUAGGUGCCAUUGUCUCUACUGUUGUAGAAACAAGUGAAGAGCUAGGACACCCUGGCCUUCUCCCCCAGCUGGGCCUGAGGGCUAAUGUGAUACGCAUGGCUCUGUAGGGUGACUCCUACUGAUGGCUCUUCCUCUCUACUGGUUCACCACCCCCUCCCCAUGACUUUGGUGGUAACCUGGGGAUUUCUGGUGCAAAUUCACCUGAUACCAGCUCUCUGGCCAUGACUGGCCCUGAUUUGGUCUCUGUGGCCAUCGAUGAUGCCCAGAUUUUCGGGAGGGGGACUCUACCAUCAUUGUCGGCUUUCUUAGGACAUGAACUCAGGGAAAAACCUGUGGUCCUGACUGCCACAACUAUGUCAUUGAACGCAUUGGCUUUCAGACUUUUCUUUUACUGAUGUGCUUAGCAAUAUAUUUUGCAUUGCGACUCCACAUGUGUGUAUGCGUGUAACUCAUAGGUUUUUUGAAAUGAUACGUAUCCCUGUGAGAUACAUUAACUCAUGUUUUCUUUCUCUCUUUCCUCUUUUAUUCCUUUCCUUUCCUUAAAAACAAAAUCUGAUAGUGACCCAGACACUACAUGGAUUUCAGCCCACAAGGUGACAGUCUAUUGAACUCCCCCCUCAUUUUAAUGUGGCCAUUCCCCCCUUCUUGAGCUUGGUUUAGUUUCCCAGGAAUGAGGCCAGUUUUGGAGGCAAUGUGCCUGUUGUUGCAUUUUCAAAUCACUGUGCCACCCUGCUGACAUCUACUCUGCAUUCUGGGCGGAGCUGGUGCACACUGAUGCUUCUCCACGGGCCAGUGCCCUCCACCUGCAGCCAACCCCAGGGUGAAGGUGGUCAGGAGCCCCUGACCUGGACCAGCUGUCAGGGCCAAGGCCACCUCCCUGCUGUUCCAUCUGGGGUAGGGUAGGAGGUGGUCCUUUGAGUCUUCUAGGCUGCCUCCACCAACUGCCUACCCUGACAGAGACACUUAGAUUCCCAAGGUGGGCAUGCUUGACAUGGCCUUCUUAGAACUGGGCUGCCCAGGGACUUCUGCAGUGGGAAGACAUCUUAAGGGAGGCCAUAUGGCCAAUCUCUACAGCAGACAGUGUGGAGGUUGUAUUAAUUUCCUCUUGCUCCUGUCUCAAAUUACCACAAACUUGGUGGCUUAACACAGUGUCCAUUUGUUCUCUUACAGUUCUGGUAAGAAGUCUGAAAUCAGUGUCACUGGGCUCAAGUCAAGGUGUUGGUGGGGCUGCUUCCUUCUGGAGGCUUUAGGGGAGAAGCUGUUUCCAGAUUUGCUUAGCCACUGCAUUUUUUGGCUUGUGGCCCCUUCCUCUACCUUCAGAUAGCAUCACUCCUAUCUGCUUCACUCAUCACAUUGCCUUCUUUUCUGUAGUGAGAUCUACCUCUGCCUCCCUCUUGUAAAGACACUUGCCGUUCUGUUUAGGGCCCACCAAGUAAUCCAGGAUAAUCUCUGCAUCUCAGGAUCCUUAAUUCAAUCACACCUGCAAAGCCCCUUUUUCUUUCUUUCUUUUUCUUCAAAGUCCCCCUUUUCAACACAAACUCCACAGUUUCAAGGGAUUAGGUCCUGGAUAUCUUAGGAGGCCAUUACCACGUUUACCACAGUAGUCAUCCAACCUCCACUUUCAGGACCAUGAGUUACUCUCUGUCAUCAGCUGGCCCAGUCCUGUGCGGUCAGGCUAGGGCUGUGUGCUCCUGAGGGUCAAGUGAGACCAAUGUGACCUUCAGAUGCUUUCCCACUCCCAUCUACCAAAACAAGGCACAUCAAUAGUUACUUGUUAUUUAACAAAUAAAUGCUGUGUUCUACUACUUCCAGAGUUAGGAUUAUAGCUCUUUAAUUAAGUUCCUUCUCGGGUCUGUGGAAAUACAGGGAGCUGCAGAAUCUCAGAAGUGGAAAUAAUUUAGAGCUUGUAUAAUCCAGGGGUUCCAAACUGGUGGCCCCUGGGUCAAAUCAACUAGAUUCUCCAGGUUUGGCCUUUGAUGCUAAAGAGGGAGGUGAAGGAGCCUAAGAAAUCUCUCAAGACAGAAGCUAUGCGUACAAGUCCAUGAAUUUCCACAUAAUUCUAUUUUGCAUGUCAGAAAGUGAACUUUGGUCCAGCCAUUUACAUCUCUUCUGUAACACAAUGAAUUUCUGAGAGCUAGGGAGGCUUUCCUGCUAGCUCUGACACUCCCAGGUAAGUGGAUAAGCUUCACACAGGUCCUCAGGAAUGCAAAUAGGAAAAACACAUUAAUACUUGGUAAACACUGCUGUUCUUAACAUUUGUUGUUUUACAGUGCUACUCCCAUGAGAUUAACUGUAUAAUCAUCCAACAAGUGUCUGGGGUUAUAGACAAUUUAGUUUUAGCUGUACUGGGGGGCAAAAUGGGGCAGAGAAGACACUGAAGACUACUUUCUCUUGGUUUCAUAGUUUUACUUUUUAAAGUCUUCUUCUGGACCCAUUUCCUGAACUGAAUAUUACUUUUUUUUGAAGACAGGGAAAUUUCCAUUCUUUUGGACCCCACAGCACCACGGUGCACCAGUAGAGGUACCCAGUAGAUGCCUGUCACAGGAGACAAAUGGAGUUUAGCCUACAUUUUCCUGCCUGGGAGAGCUCUCUCCUUGGCUCUUCAUCCCCCUUUCCACCUCUGCCCCUCCCCUGCCCGCCAGAUACACCAUUCCAGAUGCCCCAGUGUUGGGAACGCCCAGCAUUGGAUAUUCACGUUGACAGAACCCUGUCUGACCAGAGCUCUGGCAUUGUGGGACCAGUCCAGAAAGCCUGUCCUGGGUCAUAUGCAGAGAGAAGUUGUACUUCAUGACACAGGAGAGGAGCAGAACCUUUCCAGUGUCUCUUCUUGGUGGAACUUGGUGGGGAUACACAGUCCAGGAUAAGAGAUCAUUCCUUCUAACACUCGAUGCAACUCAAUCCAAACAGCAUGCGGUCACAUCAACCCCGAAAUGGGUUUGGCCCCACCAGACCAAGGCAGGAGGCCAGGACAGAGGAAAAGGAGCCAGAUGUUACGAAAUACUGCUCUGUGCUCAGAGUGCUCACAUAGCCCUUAGCAAGUAUAUGGGCAGGGAUACAGUGGUUGUUUAUAUAUUUAUGAACACAAAGCUGCAGAUGGGGAAACAUUGAUCCACCCGAUCCCUUUCACAAGAGAAGAACUGAGAUUCAAGUUGCAGGAGGCGAGGGGUUGGUGGUGGUGUAUAGCUGACUUCCAGGAACACCUACUUUUGCCAAGAGCCUCGGUGAGAAAUUAGAGAAGGCGUCUUGGCUCUGGAGAAAGCUGCGGGGCAAAAGGCGGCUGGUGAUGGCAUUCUGCCUCCUGGUGACUCUGUCUGCGGUGGCUGUCACUCGCUUCCCCCCACAGCAUCCUGCUACUGGCCCAGACCCUGGUCCCAUGGAGCCCCAGGAGGUAACGGGUGCCCUUGGCUCCCACAGCCAGCAGGCUCUGAGCUCCAGCUGGAGGCAGCGGGCAAGAGACCUAGGGCUCUGGAGAGGCUGGGCCUUGCCUAGCCCCAUGUGUGCUGGGGAGCAAGGCCACAGAGGGCCAGUGGACAGAAGCAGGAAGUCCCUGGGAGGGGACAGCAGGCGUCCAGGGAGGGUCAGGAGGGACAUUACUUUGGCAUCUCUAGGAGAUUUGAGACUCAGUACCCGGCGUCUUGUGCUUCUGGGGGAGGAUGAAGUUAGGAGUCCAGGAGCCAAAGACUUGGGUCCCCCCUGGCAUGAUGGUCUCAUCAGAGAGGCACAGAAUGAAACUGGCACCCUGGUUGGCCCCCUCACAGGACAUGGCAUGACGGCUUUACAGGCUUGGAAAGCUACCGCUGGACCGACCCUCCGGUCCCACCCAGCAGAAGGCAGGAAUCUUCCAGGAUUGACUGGUGGGCGACAAACAGGGCAUCCCACACCAUCUGCAGGGGCUCCUCGGUGGCCUGGCUCUGUUGGGGAGCUGCAAGGAUCUGUCUGGUGUGAGGCUGAGACCCCUGGUCUGUUGCCCAGCUUGAGGACCAGUGGGCAGGCUCCCCCGUGGCUCACAGAGCAUGAUGUGCAAAUGCUCCGGCUGUUGGCCCAGGGGGAGGUGGUGGGCAAAGCCAGGGUGCCUGGCCAUGGGCAGGUGCUGCAGGUUGGCUUCUCCAAUGCGGGUGCCUCUCGGGACAUGUCUUCUGGGCUCAGUCAUCUCUGCUCCCAGGGGCUCUGCGGCCUGAUCAAGAGGCCUGGGGACCUGCUGGAGGUCCUGGCCUUCCACGUGGACCGUGUGCUGGGGCUGCACCGGAGCCUACCUGCUGUGGCCCGGAACUUCCGGAGCUCCCUGCUGCCCUACCGAUACACAGAUGGCAGCACAAGGCCCGUCAUCUGGUGGGCGCCCGAUGUGCAGCACCUGGGUGACCCAGACGAUGACCAGAACUCUCUGUCCUUGGGCUGGCUCCAGUACCAGGCCUUGUUGGCACGUGGCUGCAGCUGGCCAAGCCAGGCCCCCUGCCUGGGCCUCCACCACGCCGAGUGGGCACGCCUGGCACUCUUCGACUUCCUGCUGCAGGUCCAUGACCGCCUGGACCGCUACUGCUGCGGCUUUGAGCCCGAGCCGUCAGACCCCUGCGUGGAAGAGGGGCUCCGGGAGAAAUGCCAGAACCCGGGCGAGCUGCGACUGGUCCACAUCCUGGUCCGGAGCAGUGACCCAUCCCAUCUGGUCUACAUCGAUAACGCCGGCAACCUUCAACACCCCGAGGACAAGCUGAACUUUCGGCUGCUGGAGGGCAUAGAUGGGUUUCCUGAGUCUGUCGUGAAGGUUCUUGCAUCAGGGUGUCUACAGAAUAUGCUGCUCAAGUCACUGCAGAUGGACCCAGUGUUCUGGCAAAGCCAAGGCGGGAGACUGGGACUGACGCAGGUUCUCCAGACCCUGGAGCGGCGAGGACAGAGGCCUGGAUUUGAAUGUAGGAGCUCUGGGUUCAGAUAUGGCCUUGGCCACUUAAUGGUUAGCAACUGACAAGUGUUUAUUGAGCACCUGCUAGAGUAACUAGUAACGUUUACUGAGUGAUGACUACGUACCAGUCGCCGUGACAGUGGUUUAUGUGGAUCAAGGCACACCUAACCUCGCGACAACUCGACGGAUCAAGAGCCUCAGCUGGGGAGGGAGUACAUUGCCCGUGGCCAGACAGAUGGAGGUGGCAGAGUCUGCCCAUGAACCUGGGGAGCGCUACCUGGCAUGAAGUGAAUACAGAUGGUGGUCUGCACUGUGCAAAGGAGCUGUACCGUGUUCCUCAUCACAAAGCCUCAAAAUAACUCCAUAAGCAGUGGAACCGCUUUUCCCCGUGUGGCCCGAGAACUUCCUGGACUCCACUCUGUUCCUGGGGAUUCGCCCUUCCCACCAGAGCACCGCCAGGGGGAGUAUACAUCCCCGCAUCUUGACUUUGGGCUUGACCGCAUAACUUGCUUUGGCCAAUGAAGUGUUAGCAGAGAAGGCAUAAUCGGAGCCUUGAAAAGAGCGUGUGUGGCUGGCCUCGCCCUCUUUAUACCUAUGACAUUGCCGUGAGGAGAACGUGUUCAGCCCAACCUCCGGUCCCAGGAGGAGUGACACGCGUGUGGAGCAGCGCUGCUCCGGCCAAGCCCGGUGUAGCUCACCUGACCCCCGGGUUCAGAACCAAGAUCAUCAGAACCACCGGUCAAUGCAGGGACGUCUGAGCUGGGUAAGUGCUUAUUGUUGUCCAUCACCAAAUCCUGCGGCUGUUUAUUAUGAAGCACCACUGUGGCCACAGCUAACCAGAGGACCUGUGAUGAGAGGCCACGGUCCUCAUCCUGGGUAGGGACCUGGCAUUGCUGGACUUUUCCUUAUGUGGGACUGAAGGCCUGUGAGUGUCACUGCCAGGCUGUACCCCAGCACCCCAGUAUGCCUUCUUAGGACACACAGCAGGUGCACCUGUGGGAUACGGGGGACCCUCUGCUCUUGUUUAAAGCUCCCAUUUGGAAAUCAUGCCUUUCAGAGUCCCAUGAAAGGACGGGUAGGUUUGUGCCCCCUCCAUGGUCCAGUAACAGAACUGUGUCUGCACGUCACCACUGACACCCCGACAGAGAGGCCUGGCUGGGCUACACCACCUGCUCUGUUUUUCUGCGCUCCGGGGAAGGGUGACACUUGCAGUGAAGCCCAGGACGGCUCAGACUGACGGAUCUCACGCUCAGGCCUCACAGGAGGAGCACGCGUAACACCUGAUGCCUGCACGGCACUGCGCUGGGGAGGGACGGAGCUGCCCCUUGAUUCCCUUGGGGCUAGCUUUGGACUCUUGGUGUCCUGCAACUUCCCUCUCCCUGCGAUCACAAAGAUCAAAGUGCAGUCCUGCUCAGAAAGAGGCAGUGGCUUAGGCUGGGUUCCCUCAGAAUUGGAAUCAGGGAUAAGGGUUGGAGUCAAAAUAGUUUGAGAAAUUAUCCCAAGAAACCUGUGUAGGAGAGUAGGGAAUUAAGAGGGACAAGGAGUGAAGCCAACAGAGGGCACAUCAAUGAGCCCGUCGCUACUCUGCGAAAGCCAGGCUACUCGUCUACCAACUCCUACCCAGCAUCAGUUGACGGUCCUUCCUGGGGACACUGUCUCUUCCAGCCUAUCCUCAUCUAAGGGUUGAGCGCGCACACAUUCAUACGUAUGCACAUUAUAUUCCCCACCAGAACAUUUCACAAAGAAUUACUCUGACUAGCUAUAAUGUACUCCAGUGUUUCCUUUUCCAGCCCGAUAUUCUAUUCUGUUUUAAAAGGUGGGGAAGGGUGGGGGGGUGUUCACCUUAAUUGAUUUUACAGCCUAACAGGGUCAGCAAUUUGCUGUUUAAAAAAUACUGGUCUAGACCACAAAUUCUCAAACCUGCCUGGUUGUCGACAUCCCCAGAGGCACUCACUAAAACUGUAUAUUCCCAGGCACAGAUCCUGGAGGUUCUGAUUCAGUAACAGGUCUGGAGUAUGGCUCAGGCAUCUUUUCUUUUUCCUGUCUUCUUGCAGAUUAUUUGAAUUACAUUUUUAUCUAUAUAUACUGUUUUUGAGUGUAUUUCUUGGUACAGAUUCUCUAGUGGUUGUUUUAGGCAUCAUACUAUUGACAUGCAACUUCGCACAGUCUACUAGUAUUGACAUUUUACAUCUCGACUAAGUAAAGAGACCUUAUCUCUGUUGGGCUCUUUUACCCUUCUCCCUUGCAAUCAUCUUCAACAUUUCCUCUACAGACAUUAAAAUCCACAUCAGCCAGUAUUACAAAUUUGGUUUCAACUGUCAAAUGUCAUUUUCUCGAGAGGGAAAGGAAAGCCUAUUACAUUUACACAUAUUUUUAUUCUUUCCACUCUUUCUUUGUCCCAGGUUUUCUUUGGUUAUCAUUUCUUUUCUUUGGAGAACCUCCCUUCAUUACCAUUGUAGGGAAGUUUGCUGAGAACAAAUUCUUAGUUUUCCCUCAAGUGACAAAGUCUUGAUUUCACCUUCAUUCCUAAAGAAUAUUUUCACUGGGACAGAACUCGGGGGGGACAGUUCUCUCUGCACUCUGGCCUCCACAUUUCUGAUGAGAAAUCCACUGCACCUAAACUGCCAUUCCCCUGGACAUAAUGCAUCCUUCCUCUCAUGUGGCUCUGGAGAGUCUGGUUUUCAGAAGCCUGAUGAUUAUCAGGUGUCCUGGUGUGGGUUUCUUUGGGUUCACCCUGUUAGGGCUUCAUUCACUCUUGAAUCUGUAGGUUUGUAUCUCUCACCAAAUUUGGGAAAUUUUCAGCCAUUGUUUCUCUGAUACUUUUUCAGCCUCCAGGUACAUGAAUGUUAAAUAUUAUAUAUAUAUAAUUGUAAAUAUUUAUUAUAUAUAUAAUUAUAAAUAUGUGUGUGUGUGUGUGUGUGUGUGUGUCUUUCUUUUUAGGUCUCUAAGGCUCUCUUCAAUUUUUUUCCAGUCUAUUUUCUCUCUGUUGUUUAAAUUGGAUAAUUUCCAUUGUUUGUUUUCAUGUUCACUGAUUUUUUUCUUCUGUCAUAUCCAUUCUCCUAUUGAGCCAUUCCAGUGAUUUUUUACAUUUUGGUUACUACACUCUUCGGUUCUCAAAUCUCCAUUUUGCUCUUUAUAUGUUUCCUUUCUUUGCUGAGACUUAGCCUGGGCAUUUGGGGUAUAAUGUUAUGAUACUCUGGAGCUUAUAUUAAACCUUCUAUUUUAGCAGGUUUUUGCAAGAACCAUGCUAGUGGGGGAAGAAAAAGGACGGAGUCUCUACCGUUGGAUGAGAGGAAAUCCACGCUCCCCGUGUGGCCUCCACCAACAGCACCCUGGCAGGGAGAGUGAGAGACACAGCAGAACCAUGGAGUAGGAAAUCUCAGCUCCUCAGCUGGCCUCUAAUGACACCCAGGGGGUACCUCAUCAUCACUGGGUGGGGGUCGAAGUCUAGGCUCCAGUGACACCUCAAGGGGACUGUUGUGGUGGGGGGGGGACAUCUUGUUACCUCUGGGUGGUGGUAAAGGUCCAGGUUCUCAUCCAGACCCAUCGGGGGAGGGUAGGUUGGAGUGCUGAAGGUGGGGGUGGGUACCUGGUUGGUUACCACAAAGCAAGGAUGGAUGUCUAAGCUGUCCAUUCAGCCUUUACUAGAACCAGGAGGGAGGGGAGAAGCAAUCUUCCUUGGUGUUUUGCAGGAAUAGGGUGUUACUCUCCAAAAGGUUUGUUUCGUUAGGCUGUUCCUUUUCCAGUCCUUUGACGAGAGAGAGAGAGCGAGCUUUCCUUGGGGCUUUUUCUGGUCGAUGCUCACUGGCAUUUCUGGGUUGUGGGCUUCUUUGGCACCCAGUCUGGGAUACAUAGGAGGCAAAUAGAAAAUCCAAGGAACUCAGUACUGUGUUCUUCUCUCCACCUUUCAGUCUUCUGAUGUUUUAUACACAAUGUCCUGUAUUUUUAGCUGUAUUAGUGGAUGGGUAGGGAUAAAUGUGUCUACUCUGUUUUGACCAGCACCCAAAGUCUCAUUGGUAUCUGCUUUUUUACUAAGCUCCCAGGUGAUUCUGGGGGGUACAACCACAUUUGAGAAACACCAAGUGGCUCUUAACCAAAGAACUAGGCCAUGAAUCCCAAGAGCCCCCAAAGUCUUAAUGUAUUCCAGCAUCAGUUCAAAAUUAUAAGUCCAAAGUCUCAUCACCAUGAGAUAUGGUGAACGAGGGCUUCCUGGAGCCUUGAGUACCUAGUGGUUUGCAGACCCUCAUCCUUGGGGGCCGAGGGUGGUGGUAGGCAACAAGGACACGAGGCCAGGGUCGUGGGCCCCCACUUACCUCCACACAAAACCAAGCACCUUUAAUUUCAUAUAUUUAGAGGUACUCUAGUGGGUUGAAUAAUGUCUAAAUUCAGGUCUACCCAGAACCUCAGAAUGUGAUGUUAUUUGGAAAACGGGUCUUUACACACACAAUUAUUUAAGGAUCUUGAGAUGAGAUCAUAAUGGAUUAGGGUGGGCCCUAAAUCUAAUGAAAGUGUCCCUAGUGACAGAAAGUGACAGAAAACACAGAGGAACGGAGCAGGCAGCCACGUAAAAACAAAGACAAGCGAUUGGAAUCAUGUAGCUAUAAACCAAAGACCACCCAGGACUCCCAGGAGCCACCAGAAGCCAAAAAGGGGAAGGGUUCUCUCCUUGAGCUUUUUUUUUUUUUUUUAAUGUUUAUUUAUUUUUGAGAAAGAGAGAGACAGAAUGUGAGCAGGGGAGGAGCAGAGAAGGAGACACAGAAUCUGAAGCAGGGCCCAGGCUCUGAGCGCUUAGCACGGAGCCCCACACGGGGCUCGAACCCACAAACUGGGAGACCAUGACCUGAGCCAUAGCUAGACAAUCGACUGAGUCACCCAAGUGCCCCUACCUCCUCGAGCUUUCAGAGGGAACACGGUCCUGUCAAUACCUUCAUUUUAGACUGUUGGCCUCCAGAACUGUGGGAGAAUAAAUUUCUGUCAUUGUAAGCCAAGUUUCUGGUAAAUUUGUUACAGCAGCACUUGGAAACUCAUGAGUACCACAAAAAUUUAUUUAAAAAACGGAGUUCUGGGGGGCGUGGGUGGCUCAGUUCGUUAACGUCCGACUCUUGAUCUCCGCUCAGGUCAUGACCUCAUUUUCCAGGAGAUCGAGCCCUGCGUUGGGCUCUGCGCUGGCAACACGGAGCCUGCUUGGGAUUCUCGGUCUCCCUCUCUCUCUCUCUCUGCCCCUCUCCAACUCAUGCACAUGCUCUCUAUCUCAAAAUAAAUACACUUAAAAAAAAAAGAAAACAGGGCUCUUUGUUCUUAGGAAGGCAUUCCACUGUUAUUAAUUUUUUUAAGUUUACUUUGGAAGAGACAGAGAGGCGUGAGUCGGAGAGGGCAGACGGGACAGAGACAGAAUCCCAAGCAGGCUCCACACUGCCAGCACAGAGCCUGAUGAGGGGCUUGAACCCACAAAGCCGCAAGAUCAUGCCCUGAGCUGAAACCAAGAGGUGGACGCUGAACCGACUGAGCCACCCAGGCGCCCCAGGAAUUCCACCGUCGUUCAGGUGAACUACUGAGCGAGUCCUCCUCACCUUAGAGAGGUGCCCUGAAUCAUCCAGCAACUCUGCGACAUGGCAGGAUUAAAAAUGGAGGCAUCCUAAACUCCUGGCGAGUGCUGCCUCCUGAAGGCUGGGGACAGCGGCAGGUCACGUGCAGGCCUGGCCAUGCAGCUUCUAAGUUCAGGGUCCAGCGAAGGCAGGUGGCUCCCCGCACAGCCCAGUCCGUCCACUGCUCCACCCAGCUGCCACCCGCUAGGGCCAGGCCAGGUCUGAUGUGGAUGAGCCGCUCUUCACCCCCUUGGGCACGGCUCUGCUAGGGAGGGCAGGCCCGUUCCAUCCCUUGCAGCCUCCCUCCCCCUCCCUGAGGAAAGUCCUCUGGAGUUCUCACCUUGCCAGAGCAGCCACACCUUCUGCUAACCCUCCCCGACAGGGGGGGCAGGGAAGGUGCAGGGGGGGUACGGGGGACAGGUAGCACACCUCGGUCUCAGGGCACCGACCGCACCAAGAAGUCUGACCAAUUGGUCUGCUCUGUUGGAGACCCCUGAUCUCAGGAAUUAUCACAUCACACCCUACACCAACCUGGCUCUGAGUUCCUGCCGCAUUACCGGUGGUCGGUGGCUCCCAGAGGAGGAUGUGUGCUGUCCAGGCAAGUUUAAGGCUAAAAAGCCAGACAGACUCGGGUUCAAACCCCAGCUCCAUGACUUUACGGCACGGCCUUUCUGAAGUCAGGUUCCCCGUCAGCAAGAGCGAGAGCCCAGCACCCACCUCACAGGGUUGUGGAGAAGGUCAGAAAUGGUGUAUUCGUUGAACCUCAUGAAUACUGAUAGCUGACUGCUUGUCACGUACAAAAACAGCAAUUUCACGCAAUUAGGGUCAACCUAAUAAGUGUCUAGCAGAGGGGAAAAGGGAAAAAACUGAGGCACCAGAUGGUUAAUAAAGGGCCACAGGGAUGCACAAUGAAGUUUGGCAUUUUAAAACAUUUUGGACACACUUGGCUGCCUUCAUCUGACUCGAAGCAAAAGAUGAUUGGUGCUGAGGCGGGAACUGUCACUUUUCAUUACAGUCAUUUGAAACAAAGGAUUUUAAAUCUAAGAGGAUUCCUCCCACAGAUGGGGACUGAGAUAGGACAUGCUGUCCUCUGUUGGCAUCUUGGGCCAGAGUCCGUCACCCAACUCUCUACUUGGGCUUCCAAGUCUAGUGCAUUAAUGAAGGACAGAGGGGGCACUAUUUCUACCCAGGAUCCAUGCUCCUUUCCUCUUCCUACUAAAACCUCAGGUUUGUUCAGAAAGCCACCCCUCCCCCUGAUACCCAGGAGGUGCAGAGCAAGCCAAGACCUACCUCCCACCUCGAGAGGGCUGAUCAGCAGAGAACAAGCCUCUGGAGCCACUUACUGGCCCAGCAUAGCAUGCUACCUGAGUAGAACCAAGUAGAACGGAGGGAAGGAGUCACAUCCCAUGUUCCCACCCACUGGACACAAAAGAAGGUGCUGUCCCAUGGCCGCUGCCUGCCAUCUGCUGACCAGCCUGAGAACAAGGAUGGCAUGAUGGAGGAGAGACAGGAAGGACCCUAGUGACAUCUCAGAGCCCUAUAACUUGGACUUCCUGCUGUGAACUUUCCUUAUUAUGGAAGCUGGUUUGGGUCGGGGUUUUGGUUCCUCUAAACUAAGAAUAAUUCAACUUUGUUGUUGUGCAUGUUGUGUGGAGCAAACACAUGGGGGUCUGACCUGUGCCUUCUGUUUUUGAGCUGUGCUCUAACCUAGUGGGGCUAUUUGGUAUCAGUUUCCCCAUGACCCUUCUAACUUUGGUAAACAAAGCCCUCCAAGAAACUCUUGUAUUAGAAAUUAGAAACUAUGGGGCACCUGGGUGGCUCAGUUGGUUAAACAUCUGACUUUGGCUCAGGUCAUGGUCCUGCAGUUUGUGAGUCUGAGCCCCACGUUAGUCUCUGUGCUGCCAGCUCAGAGCCUGGAACGUGCCUUGGAUUCUGUGUCUCCCUCUCUCUCUGCCUCUCUCUCUCUCAAAAAUGAGUAAACAUUAAAAACUUUUUUCUAAAAAAGAAAAAUCAGCGAAGGCCAGAAUGUCAAUGGCCUUGGUGCUAGGUCAAGAAAUCUGAACUCUAUCCUAUAGGCAAUGGGGAGCUACUGUAAGUCUUUGAGCAGAGUAGCCCAGAGAUGGGGGAGAACAGAGGUAGAAAACCCAAUGACAAGUUCCCAGCCUCAGUGUCCCUCCACUCAGUGUGGGAGAGGCAAGCCUAGGAGUUAGAAUGGGGUGCCUGGAGGGGGAGCUUGGCAUGAACGGAGUACAAAGAGCGUGUUCCUUAUGGCAGCUGAAGUCCCGAAGUCUGCAGAUGACUAACUUUAAGCAAAUUCCUGUGGAUUUGAACCCUGUGGAUUUAAAGCUACUCCCUUAACAAAGCUCCCACUCAUUCAAUCCCAUUGGGCCUUCUUGGUCUGUAAGGAAGAAGGCAAAGUCACAGCUAUCCUGAGAGCCCACAAACUUCAUGUCCUUCAUGCAGGUCUUCAAGGCUUUUGUGGAACAAAGGCAGAGAACUUCUGGUCCAGCCCCAGAGUGACAAAAAGGACACAAGCCGCUGCCUUCUUAGCUGGGUUUUGCCUGUGCUCCGGUCAGCCCUGCUAAUCUCCAGGAGAGGAUCUCUGCAAGCCCAGAACCCUGCAGCCAAGAAAUCUGCUUAAACAUCAAUGUUUCCCUGUCUUUUCAAACUUAAGUACCCGCCAAUAAAGAAGAGAAACUCUUUAAUGCUCCAUACUCAACUGUAAAGUCCAGUAUCCCCUUCUUCCAAGAAUCCCCUAUUCGUAAUGAUUCUCUUUACAAUGUCUACCCCCAAGAUUGAAGGAUUUCAUCAACCUUUACCUCCUGAAGUUGGUAUUUUAUAUCUGCCAUCUGCAUAUGUAAAAUAAUACUGCUGCAUAUACUUUUUCAAAAACAUGUGCCCCCUCCUGGAAAUUCCCUACCCAGCCCCACCAGCUAAGAACUACUUUGCUAUUAGGUUGAAUCACAUUAAGUUGCUGGUACUUGACCAAUUCUGACCAGUGUCCCCUGGUUCUUCUGUGGGAACCAAGUAUCCUAACCACAUGGACAGUGUCCAUACCACUGGACGGACAGUUCCGAGGCUGCUCAGAGAAAACCUGUGUCCUCACAUGCCCAUAGCAGGAGUUCUGACAUCUCUCUAGGGGGUAAGAAGAGAAAAAAAGGACACAGAAAGAGCCAGGAGGAGGGAGAGUUAAUUCAUCCAUAGUGUCAGGAGAGGGAAAGAACUGAGAAAGGAAAGAGACAAAAAAGGGCUUCAGAAGGGAAUGCAGAGGCCGAUGAGCAGGGUGUCUCACUGGGGAGCUGGACAGCGGCCCUGAGGGCCUCAGCUCAGAUCUGGGUCAGGGAACUGAAGAGGGACUCAGGCUGGCACAACAGGAGGGAUGUGAGCAGAACAGCUGGGGGUGGGGGUGGGGCGGCAGGCGUGCACUCACACGCAGGCAGCUCCUAGUUCUGACCAGCGGGAGAGCCUGGGAGCAGUGACGGCACAGCUGGCACUCAGGCGGCACUCAGGUAUUGAUUCCUAGUAUCAUCCUCUACCAAGGAACCAGGGCUCUGUGAAAAAUAACUGCGUCCAGGGCUUGGGCAGGGAAAGUACAAGAUGAGCUUGGAAUAUCUCGUAGUGCCAGAAUGUAAGGAAGUUCUCAAAAAAUGAUGAGGACAUAUCAAAAAGGCACAAGGAGGCCCCAGCGGCUAGAUCUGGGACCAUGUAACAAAAAGCAAUAGGUAUUGGGGCGCCUGGGUGGCUCAGUCGGUUAAGCGUCCGACUACGGCUCAGGUCAUGAUCUCGCUGUCUGUGAGUCCGAGCCCCGCAUCGGGCUCUGUGCUGACGGCUCAGAGCCUGGAGCCUGCUUUGGAUUCUGUGUCGCCCUCUCUCUCUGCCCCUCCCCCACUCAUGCUCUGUCUCUCUCUCUACAUAUAUCAAAAAUAAACAUUUAAAAAAAAUUUUUUAAAGCAAUAGGAAUGGAUUAGAGCCCAGAGAACACAAUAAGUAUGCAAGAGUCAAUACUGAUACGAAUACACAAUUGAGUAAAUAAAUAAGGACACAGGAACAGAUCUUUCUUACAGUAGAAUUCCAAUUAGUCAAUGUAGAAGCAGUGACGGAAACAGAAAAUCACCAUUUGGCCAACAUCACAGUAAUAAUGGUUUCAGGCAAGAUCCACUGCCGGACUGCUAAAAUUAGUGCGUGGAAAUAUGACGAGAACUAGGAUAUUUGCAUAGUCUCAAACUGUCUCCCUGUGAGAUACAUAUCUAUUAUGAAGGCAAAAAUAGAACUUUUACGGCACAGGAGCCUGGCAGACAGCCCCUGAAACAAGUAAUCGACGUUACCAUCACCAGUAAUAACUUACUGACCUCAUGUACCCCUUGACAAUGAUGCACUGAGAAGGGCACCUCACUUCUGUCAUCUUCUUACCCAAACACACGACCUCGAUCUAUAGUUCUAAAUAGGGAAAUUUGGUCUAGCUCCACUGUUAGCUCUGAAUAUAGCGUAUAGAGAAGUUAAUAGAGAAAACAUUAAACCCAAAUUGAAGGACAUUCUACAAAAUACGUGACCAGGAUUCGUCAAGAGUGAAGGUCACAAAAGACCAGGAAUGACUGAGAAGCUGUCCCAGAUUGAAGGAGACUAAGGAGACACGCCAAUUUUUUAAAUUGUUUUAAAAUUAUUAUUUUUAAAUUUAAAUCCAAGUUAGUUAACAUAUAGUAUAAUGAUGAUUUCAGGAAUAGAAUUUAGUGACUCAUCACUUACAUAUAACACCCAGUGCUCAUCGACACGACAAUUAAACACAAGGUAGGAUCUUGCACCAGAUAAAGGACAUUAGUGGGAAAACUGGCAGAAUUUGAAUAAGGUCUGUAGUUUAGGUAAUGGUGCUAUGUUAAUUUCCUGGUUUUGAUCAUUGCACUGUGGUUAUGUAAGAUUUAACAUCAGAGGAAGCUGAGUGAAGCAUUUUCUGUAACUUUUCUGUAAGUCUAAAAUUACUUAAAAAGUCAUAAAAAGUUAGAAAACUUAAGAAACAAGAGAACAUUAGUGUUUAUAGGUAAAAUGACAUGUAUGUGGUUUGUUCUGAAAUACUCCAGCAAAAAAAGCACGGAGGCAGAUGGACCAAGACGGUAGCAAAUUGAUCAUUGUGAAAGAUGGUGAUGACGGCCUUUCUGUGGUCCUCUUUUGUGUCUGACGUUUUCCGUAAUAAAAAGUCAAAAAGUUAACAAUAAAUAAUCAAAUAAAUCCCUGCUGCAAAUGACAGAAUUCUAAGGAGUGGAUAAGUAAUAAGUGAAUAUUUAGAAAAUAUAAGAUAAACAGAGCCCUCCCUGGAGAGAUGGAAGGCAGAUGCACGGGGCAGGCGCUGAUGCGGAUUUUGUUCUGAUCACAGACGGGAACUUGUCCAACAGCAGCUAAGGCUGCAGCGGACACACCCCGGGAACGUCAGGGAGCAAGAGCUGCAGGGACACGAGGAAAGACCAACCUCUAACCUACACAGGCAGCUCUCUAGGUGGGUGUGUGCCACCUGCCCCUCUGCUAGGCCUCCCUGUGGCGAAACGCGAGCUUGGCAGCAGGCAGGUGGGGAGUGAGGUGGGGUCACAAGAGGAAGGAGGCGAGGGCUCUCCUCUGGACCUGUGUGAGCAGUAGCCAAUCCCAGGGAGGCCCUAAGCUCAGAACUGAGAUCAAGCUUAUGGGAACUGGAAACAUGGGGUUCAGGACGUGGUGAGGCAACCAGGCAGAGGCCAGCCUUUGAGCCUGGGGAGGAGAGAGGACUAUGUCUAGGUAGAUGCUAAGUGACCACCCCCUUCCCUGCCAGGCCAGAAGGAUGCUGACAGAAGACAGGACAAAACAGACUGGACCACGGGGCCCUCCAGGCUCGCAAGUUGCCUUCCAAGGAGGAAAAUGGGAAGGAAGGUUUGCUGGGGAUGGGCAGAGAAUUUCGCUAGAAAUCGUGCGGUGGUUAAAGCACGGGGCCCAGAGGCCAGACUGCGCGGGUUUCUAACUUGACCAUGUUCAGGCCAGGCAGCCUGCACCAAUAUCUGAUGAGAAAAGUUGCAUAAAUACCCCACUCCUGUGGAAUUGUUGAAUCACUAUAUUGUAUACCUGAAACUAAUACAACACGGUAUGUUAACUAUACUGGGAUGAAAAUACGAAUGAA